AACUUUCAACAACGGAUCUCUUGGCUCUCGCAUCGAUGAAGAACGCAGCGAAAUGCGAUAAGUAAUGUGAAUUGCAGAAUUCAGUGAAUCAUCGAAUCUUUGAACGCACCUUGCGCUCCUUGGUAUUCCGAGGAGCAUGCCUGUUUGAGUGUCA
rnacentral:rRNA from 15 species